rnacentral:lncRNA from 1 species
AUAUUAUUACAUCUAUCCCAUAACUUUUGUUUAUCCACAUUAGUGUCUGGUCUGGGACAUGUACCAUCAACAAAGCCAAUUUUAUUUUUAAUAGAUAACGCUACAAUCAUCUCCUUCUCCAACCCCCAUAACCACUACCCGAGAAGGGAGUGGAUAUAAGAGAAACACCAGGAACAUCAGAGGAGCAAACAAAUAAGGGACUGGUAGGGUCAACAGGAGUUGUAUUAGUACUCAUGUUAGCAGUGGUGAAAAACAAUGAGUUCAAAGUCAAAAUAUAAUCUCUGCAAGUAUUUUGAAAAACUAAAGUUGUAUCAAAAACUUCAUGCAAAUCAUAUA